CGCCUCCCAAAAGGUAACGGAGGCGCUCAAAGGUUCUCUCAGUACGGUCGGAAAUCGUACGUAGAGUGUAAAGGCAAAAGAGAGCUUGAUUGCAAGACAUACAGGUCGAGCAAGGAUGAAAAUCGGACUUAGUGAUCCGGUGGUUCUGCGUGGAAGGGCCAUCGCUCAACGGAUAAAAGCUACCCUGGGGAUAACAGGCUUAUCUCCCCCAAGAGUCCACAUCGACGGGGAGGUUUGGCACCUCGAUGUCGGCUCAUCACAUCCUGGGGCUGUAGUAGGUCCCAAGGGUUGGGCUGUUCGCCCAUUAAAGUGGUACGCGAGCUGGGUUCAGAACGUCGUGAGACAGUUCGGUCCCUAUCCGUCGCAGGCGUAGGAAAUUUGAGAAGACCUGUCCUUAGUACGAGAGGACCGGGAUGGACGUACCUCUGGUGUACCAGUUGUCCUGCCAAGGGCAUGGCUGGGUAGCUAUGUACGGAAUGGAUAAGCGCUGAAAGCAUCUAAGCGCGAAGCCAACUUCAAGAUAAGAUUUCCCACCGCAAGGGUAAGACUCCAGAAAGACUAUCUGGUUGAUAGGUCGAAGGUGUAAGUGCAGCAAUGUAUUUAGCUUAUCGAUACUAAUAGGUCGAGGACUUGACCAA
rnacentral:rRNA from 1 species